GAUGAACGCUGGCGGCGUGCCUAAUACAUGCAAGUCUAGCGAACGGACGAGAAGCUUGCUUCUCUGAUGUUAGCGGCGGACGGGUGAGUAACACGUGGAUAACCUACCUAUAAGACUGGGAUAACUUCGGGAAACCGGAGCUAAUACCGGAUAAUAUUUUGAACCGCAUGGUUCAAAAGUGAAAGACGGUCUUGCUGUCACUUAUAGAUGGAUCCGCGCUGCAUUAGCUAGUUGGUAAGGUAACGGCUUACCAAGGCAACGAUGCAUAGCCGACCUGAGAGGGUGAUCGGCCACACUGGAACUGAGACUCGGUCCAGACUCCUACGGGAGGCAGCAGUAGGGAAUCUUCCGCAAUGGGCGAAAGCCUGACGGAGCAACGCCGCGUGAGUGAUGAAGGUCUUCGGAUCGUAAAACUCUGUUAUUAGGGAAGAACAUAUGUGUAAGUAACUGUGCACAUCUUGACGGUACCUAAUCAGAAAGCCACGGCUAACUACGUG
rnacentral:rRNA from 1 species